rnacentral:rRNA from 1 species
CCUACGGGAGGCAGCAGUGGGGAAUAUUGCACAAUGGGGGAAACCCUGAUGCAGCGACGCCGCGUGAGUGAAGAAGUAUCUCGGUACGUAAAGCCCUAUCAGCAGGGAAGAAAAUGACGGUACCUGACUAAGAAGCCCCGGCUAACUACGUACCAGCAGCCGCGGUAAUACGUAGGGGUCAAGCGUUAUCCGGAUUUAUUGGGUGUAAAGGGAGCGUAGACGGCAGCACAAGUCUGGAGUGAAAUCCCGGGGCUUAACCCCGGAACUGCUUUGGAAACUGGGCGGCUGGAGUGCAGGAGGGGUAAGCGGAAUUCCUAGUGUAGCGGUGAAAUGCGUAGAUAUUAGGAGGAACACCGGUGGCGAAGGCGGCUUACUGGACUGUAACUGACGUUGAGGCUCGAAAGCGUGGGGAGCAAACAGGAUUAGAUACCCCUGUAGUC